CAUAAUCGGAGAGUAUAAGGAGUGAAAUCCCACCCCGAAUCAUGAGCGCACGCACAGGGAGCAACAAUCAUCAGUAACAAAGGCCGGCGGGCCAUGAUCGAUCGAUACCGCUACAGUAAGAGAAGAGCAGCCCACCCAAAUUGUGGGGUUUUGUGGUCGGUGGAGCAACAGCAAGGGUGUGGGGGGAAUGCGGUUGGGGGUAGUGGUACCUACCUUGAAAUCGCUCUGCUUUGCUGUGGUUGCUUGCUUCAAGCAGGAAGAGGGGGCGAUCGCCAACUGCACUGAAAUCCUCCGCUUGCUUUGUCGUGGUGAUUGGUGAACAAGGGAAUGAGGAUUCCAAGCAAGCAAGGGUGAUGGGAGAGAGGGGUGGGUGGGUAGAAAAAGCGAUGCCGCUUUUACUGCUCCAUGUCAGGAGAGAAACAACAAGGCCUGGCCCACCCGAUAAACUGCAAUUAAGAGUAAGGAGGGAGAAGCCAGUGCUCCAGGGUGCUGGAUACGAGAGCGAGCUUGUGGUGGAUCAAGAAUGAGUAUCGUACAAAGCAGCUAGAGAUACAGCUAGGUGAAAUUGAUACGAGAGUUUGCUGAAGUAAGCUAUAUAUAACAUUCUUUAGAAAAACCUUCCAUCACAAAUGGAUAUAUAGGGAUACAAGUGAUGAUCUUAUCUUUUUCUUUAGCUCUUGGACAUGGAUUAGGAAUGAUCAAAAGAGCAGAGCAGCAGAAACCACCAGCAUGGCUGCGACAAUUCCAAGAGCUGCAUAUAGUAUCGUCUUGUUGAUGCGCCUGCGUGGGCGAGACUGAACUUGCUGCGCGGCUAGCUGUUGGGUAGUCUCGACUCGAGAGACAGGGCGGAGUAGCUGAGCGCCGCAGCUUCUCCUCCAUUCAGCUUCAAGAUCCAACCCAAGGAUGUAAUGUUCGCCAUUCGCUACU
rnacentral:lncRNA from 1 species